UGAUGCUAAGGUCAAAAAGUUCAAAAAUCGUUCGGGCUUGCACGACAAGAUUUUUGACUUUGGGGCCGCCUAAACAUGAAAAUGUAGCGAUUUACGUAGUAAAUCAGCGGAAUUUGAAUGUUUAUAGAAUUGCGAGAGCUGUUUUACAGCGAAGCAAUUCGUAGGCAUCA
rfam:Firmicutes bacterium CAG:227 genomic scaffold, scf95